rnacentral:rRNA from 1 species
AGAGUUUGAUCCUGGCUCAGAUGGAACGCUGGCGGCAGGCCUAACACAUGCAAGUCGAACGGUAACAGGAAACAGCUUGCUGUUUCGCUGACGAGUGGCGGACGGGUGAGUAAUGUCUGGGAAACUGCCUGAUGGAGGGGGAUAACUACUGGAAACGGUAGCUAAUACCGCAUAACGUCGCAAGACCAAAGAGGGGGACCCUCGGGCCUCUUGCCAUCGGAUGUGCCCAGAUGGGAUUAGCUUGUUGGUGGGGUAACGGCUCACCAAGGCGACGAUCCCUAGCUGGUCUGAGAGGAUGACCAGCCACACUGGAACUGAGACACGGUCCAGACUCCUACGGGAGGCAGCAGUGGGGAAUAUUGCACAAUGGGCGCAAGCCUGAUGCAGCCAUGCCGCGUGUAUGAAGAAGGCCUUCGGGUUGUAAAGUACUUUCAGCGGGGAGGAAGGGAGUAAAGUUAAUACCUUUGCUCAUUGACGUUACCCGCAGAAGAAGCACCGGCUAACUCCGUGCCAGCAGCCGCGGUAAUACGGAGGGUGCAAGCGUUAAUCGGAAUUACUGGGCGUAAAGCGCACGCAGGCGGUUUGUUAAGUCAGAUGUGAAAUCCCCGGGCUCAACCUGGGAACUGCAUCUGAUACUGGCAAGCUUGAGUCUCGUAGAGGGGGGUAGAAUUCCAGGUGUAGCGGUGAAAUGCGUAGAGAUCUGGAGGAAUACCGGUGGCGAAGGCGGCCCCCUGGACGAAGACUGACGCUCAGGUGCGAAAGCGUGGGGAGCAAACAGGAUUAGAUACCCUGGUAGUCCACGCCGUAAACGAUGUCGACUUGGAGGUUGUGCCCUUGAGGCGUGGCUUCCGGAGCUAACGCGUUAAGUCGACCGCCUGGGGAGUACGGCCGCAAGGUUAAAACUCAAAUGAAUUGACGGGGGCCCGCACAAGCGGUGGAGCAUGUGGUUUAAUUCGAUGCAACGCGAAGAACCUUACCUGGUCUUGACAUCCACGGAAGUUUUCAGAGAUGAGAAUGUGCCUUCGGGAACCGUGAGACAGGUGCUGCAUGGCUGUCGUCAGCUCGUGUUGUGAAAUGUUGGGUUAAGUCCCGCAACGAGCGCAACCCUUAUCCUUUGUUGCCAGCGGUCCGGCCGGGAACUCAAAGGAGACUGCCAGUGAUAAACUGGAGGAAGGUGGGGAUGACGUCAAGUCAUCAUGGCCCUUACGACCAGGGCUACACACGUGCUACAAUGGCGCAUACAAAGAGAAGCGACCUCGCGAGAGCAAGCGGACCUCAUAAAGUGCGUCGUAGUCCGGAUUGGAGUCUGCAACUCGACUCCAUGAAGUCGGAAUCGCUAGUAAUCGUGGAUCAGAAUGCCACGGUGAAUACGUUCCCGGGCCU